UCAGCCGACUCCUACGGGGAGGCAGCAGUGGGGAAUAUUGCACAAUGGGGGAAACCCUGAUGCAGCCAUGCCGCGUGUGUGAAGAAGGACCUUCGGGUUGUAAAGCACUUUCAGUAGGGAGGAAGGUAGUGUAGUUAACACCUGCACUAUUUGACGUUACCUACAGAAGAAGCACCGGCUAACUCCGUGCCAGCAGCCGCGGUAAUACGGAGGGUGCGAGCGUUAAUCGGAAUUACUGGGCGUAAAGCGCAUGCAGGCGGCCUGUUAAGUCAGAUGUGAAAGCCCGGGGCUUAACCUCGGAAUUGCAUUUGAAACUGGCAGGCUAGAGUCUUGUAGAGGGGGGUAGGAAUUUCAGGUGUAGCGGUGAAAUGCGUAGAGAUCUGAAGGAAUACCAGUGGCGAAGGCGGCCCCCUGGACAAAGACUGACGCUCAGAUGCGAAAGCGUGGGGAGCAAACAGGAUUAGAUACCCUGGUAG
rnacentral:rRNA from 1 species